rnacentral:rRNA from 1 species
ACCGGCAGCUCAAGUGGUGGCCAUUUUUAUUGGGCCUAAAGCGAAAGCAGAAGGGGUGAUAAGUCUCUGGUGAAAUCCCGCAGCUUAACUGUGGGACUUGCUGGAGAUACUAUUAGACUUGAGGUCGGGAGAGGUUAGGGGUACUCCCAGGGUAGGGGUGAAAUCCUAUAAUCCUGGGAGGACCACCUGUGGCGAAGGCGCCUAACUGGAACGAACCUGACGGUGAGUAACGAAAGCCAGGGGCGCGAACCG